rnacentral:tRNA from 1 species
GCCUGAGUGGCUCAGUCGGUUGAGCGUCCGACUUCGGCUCGGGUCACACUCAUAGUCUGGGUUCGAGCCCCGCGUCGGGCU